GACGAACGCUGGCGGCGUGCUUUACACAUGCAAGUCGAACGGAAAGGCACUGCUUUUGUGGGGUGCUCGAGUGGCGAACGGGUGAGUAACACGUGAGUAACCUGCCCUUGAUUUUGGGAUAACUUCAGGAAAAAGGGGCUAAUACCGGAUAGGAGCUACUGCUGCAUGGGGGGGGUUGGAAAGUUUCGGCGGUUGGUGAUGGACGCGCGGCUUAUCAGCCAGUUGGUGGGGUAGUGGCUUACCAAGGCUCUGACGCGUAGCCGGCCUGGGAGGGUGACCGGCCACAAAGGGACAGAGAUACGACCCGGAAUCCUUCGGCAGGCAGGAGUGGAGAGUAUUGCACAAGGAGCGGAGGCGAGAUGCAGGGACGCCGCGUGCGGAAUGACGGCCUUUGAGUUGUAAACCGCUUGCGCCUGUGACGAAGCGUGAGUGCCGGAACUGGGUAAAGAAGCACCGGCUAGCAACGU
rnacentral:rRNA from 1 species